AGAUAAAUUUUAAAAACUUUCACAAGCA
rnacentral:tRNA from 3 species